AUGAGCGCUAGCGGGAGGCCUAACACAUGCAAGCCGAGCGGUAUAAUUCUUUCGGGAAUUAGAGAGCGGCGCACGGGUGCGGAACACGUGUGCAACCUGCCUUUAUCUGGGGGAUAGCCUUCCGAAAGGGAGAUUAAUACCCCAUAAUAUAUUGACUGGCAUCAGUUAAUAUUGAAAACUCCGGUGGAUAGAGAUGGGCACGCGCAAGAUUAGAUAGUUGGUGAGGUAACGGCUCACCAAGUCAGUGAUCUUUAGGGGGCCUGAGAGGGUGAUCCCCCACACUGGUACUGAGACACGGACCAGACUCCUACGGGAGGCAGCAGUGAGGAAUAUUGGACAAUGGGUGAGAGCCUGAUCCAGCCGUCCCGCGUGAAGGACGACGGCCCUAUGGGUUGUAAACUUCUUUUGUACAGGGAUAAACCUAGAUACGUGUAUCUAGCUGAAGGUACUGUACGAAUAAGCACCGGCUAACUCCGUGCCAGCCGCCGCCGUAAGAC
rnacentral:rRNA from 1 species